rfam:Ciona savignyi cont_19888, whole genome shotgun sequence.
GUCGUCGUGGCCGAGUGGUUAAGGCGACAGACUUGAAAUCUGUUGGGCUCUGCCCGCACAGAUUCGAAUCCUGUCGGCGACG